rnacentral:rRNA from 1 species
AGCGUCGACGGGUAGCGACUGAGAGGGUGGACGACACAUUGGGACUGAGAUACGCCCAGACUCCUACGGGAGCAGCAGUGGGGAAUAUGCACAAUGGCGCAAGCCUGAUGCAGCGACGCCGCGUGAGGGAUGACGGCCUUCGGGUUGUAAACCUCUUUCGACAGGGACGAAGCUUUUUGUGACGGUACCUGUAUAAGAAGCACCGGCUAACUACGUGCCAGCAGCCGCGGUAAUACGUAGGGUGCGAGCGUUGUCCGGAAUUACUGGGCGUAAAGAGCUCGUAGGUGGUUUGUCGCGUCGUCUGUGAAAUUCCGGGGCUUAACUCCGGGCGUGCAGGCGAUACGGGCAUAACUUGAGUGCUGUAGGGGAGACUGGAAUUCCUGGUGUAGCGGUGGAAUGCGCAGAUAUCAGGAGGAACACCGAUGGCGAAGGCAGGUCUCUGGGCAGUAACUGACGCUGAGGAGCGAAAGCAUGGGGAGCGAACAGGAUUAGAUACCCUGGUAGUCCAUGCCGUAAACGGUGGGCGCUAGGUGUGAGGGUCUUCCACGACUUUCGUGCCGUAGCUAACGCAUUAAGCGCCCCGCCUGGGGAGUACGGCCGCAAGGCUAAAACUCAAAGGAAUUGACGGGGGCCCGCACAAGCGGCGGAGCAUGUGGAUUAAUUCGAUGCAACGCGAAGAACCUUACCUGGGCUUGACAUAUACAAGAUCGGCGUAGAGAUACGUUUUCCCUUGUGGUUUGUAUACAGGUGGUGCAUGGUUGUCGUCAGCUCGUGUCGUGAGAUGUUGGGUUAAGUCCCGCAACGAGCGCAACCCUUGUCUUAUGUUGCCAGCACGUGAUGGUGGGGACUCAUGAGAGACUGCCGGGGUUAACUCGGAGGAAGGUGGGGAUGACGUCAAAUCAUCAUGCCCCUUAUGUCCAGGGCUUCACACAUGCUACAAUGGUCGGUACAACGCGUUGCGAGCCUGUGAGGGUGAGCGAAUCGCUGAAAGCCGGCCUCAGUUCGGAUUGGGGUCUGCAACUCGACCCCAUGAAGUCGGAGUCGCUAGUAAUCGCAGAUCAGCAACGCUGCGUAA